UGUUGCGGAUCUCCCGAAAGCCUUCAAUUGGUGGAUUGCUCUAGAUGCGGCGUGCGUGUUAAUAGCCACGGCGUUUGUUGGAUUUACAGCACCGCAGGACCAUCGCUCAUCAUCAACCCCAUCGCCAGAUCUCGCCCAUCAUUUAUAAAUUGCCGCAUCCAAUAAAGGCAAACGCUUGAGUAAAUCCACUUAAUUGCCGUCUGCCUGCGCGAAUCGCGGGUCCUUGAUGUCCGUGAAAUACUCCUGGCUGCCCGGCCUCCGCAAUCAGCAAAAGCGAAUGGCGAAUGGCGAAAGGAUGCAGUUGCUCCACGGUCCGGAUGUGUUCGCACUCGUGUAAACAUGCGCUUGUCAUUAGACACACCGGAAAUAUUGACAGCAUUCGACACGCGGCGCACGCGGAACUUGCCACUUUAUUUGCCAUUUGAUUUUUUAAAAUUAAGCCGUCGAUCUCUUUUCUUGGCCACAAUCUAUCGGGACCUUGAUUGCACAUUAGAAAAGUGUUUGGCCCAGAGUUCUGGGAAAUUCGCUCAGCCUAGACAGACAUCGCAAAAUGCCACGCGCUUUCGAACAAUCGAAACAAUCCUGGGCCAUCGGAAUUUUUUGUAAGGACAUGAAAUGCGGGUAUCGCUCCACGGAUUGUGGGAGAAUACUUGUAAAUUCGAUGUAAUCCAACGCCUUAAUUUCAAAACACAAAACAAAUGCAAAUAAUGUGCACGAGAAGGAAUUUAGAUGAAAUUUCGGGCUUGGAGCCCAAAAACAAAUUAAGCGUGGGAAAAUAUGAAAAU